ensembl:lncRNA
GCACAGACGUCUCUGACAGGCAGGAGCCGGGGAGGAAACUGGACACAGACGUGCUCUUGGCUUUCCAGAAAUGCCAGGACCUGCCAAUCAGCCUGCAGAAAGUAAUUCUGGGGAAGCCAGAGACACUGCAAGUCCCGUCACAGCUCCCACCGCAAUGGAGGCGUGAAACCUCAUGUCCAGAAGAGCUAGGAAACUGACGCGGUACACUCUCUUGGGCCAAAAGGCUGCCUUUGUUUUCAGGCUAGCGUGGCAUUGGCUUACACCUUUUGCUUUAAGCAAAUACAAGUGGGCUGCUCUCCUAUGGGCAUUAGCCUCAGCUUACCUUUCAGCCAUCAACUCCCACCUCACCUUUCUCCACCGCUAUCAACCUGCCCCUUGCCAGACAUGAUCUCCCUUUCAUCUUUACAUGCCCAACAGAGGAAGCUCUCAGGAACGGGCUGUUCUUUACCGUCACGGCCAGAGUGGAGAAGAUGCUCUCCCAGGUCACAGCCAAACACCCCUUCCUUCUCCUUCUCCAUCUCCCGCUGCUUCGGUUUCUUUGGGCGGGCCUUCGCGAAGGAACGAAGGAAGCUGAUGAGCUUGCCACGCUUCUUUGGCACUGCACAACACAAGGAAGAAACGAGUUCAUUUCACGUUGGGAUCAGUGGGACCAGGCCGAGCGUCACACAUUCUACAGAGCACGUAAAAGCGGGAAGAACAUUGCCAACAAGUACAUACAACAGCGGACUUUCCCCGUCCCCGGAGGACUCCAAGGCCACGUUGGAUGGGGCCCUGGGCAGCCUGGUCUAGUCUGGCAUUCAAAGUGGAGGUUGGCAGCCCAGCCUGAGGCACGGGGCUUGGAGCUUGAUGAUCCUUGAGGUCCCUUCCAUCCCAAGCCAUUCUACGAGGAUCCUAUCAUUUGCCCAAGCCCUCAUUCUCACUGCCUACAAAACAGCAGCCAUAUGUCCCGUGGGAUGCAUGAAGGAUCAUCAACACAGAGGAUAACGUGGGAUGGAUAAAGGAGCUAUUCAACACGGAACACACCCAGAAAAAGACUCCCUCUGACUUCCCCGC